UAGUGAUUACAGAUUUGAAACCUAUGUGAAUACUGAUAGCUUAAAAUAACAAAGGGCAAUUACUGAAAAAUAAUGCAGGGUAUGUUAUCAUUCUUGUGUGCUGCAUCCCUCCUCAGUAAAAUCCAUCCACCUAUGAAGUUUCAAGUUGAUACCUCAAAUACUUUUUGAGAAAAAAAUUGAAUUGAAAAAUUAAGUAUGAAAAAUAACAAAGGGCAAUAACACAACAAUUAUAAAAGGUAGAUUUAUCAUUCUUGUGCAGUGCACACCUCCUGAGUGAGAUCUAUGCACCUAUGAAGUUUCAUUUUGAUAUCUCAAAGGCUUUUUGAGUUAUGCUCUGGUCAAAAAUUAAUUUUGAAAAAUAACAAAGGGCAAUAAAUCAAAAAUAAUGCAGGGUAGAGUUAUCAUUCUUAAGCACUGCACUCCUCCUCAAUGAGAUCCAUCCAUCUUUGAAGUUUCAAGUUGAUACCUCAAAUACUUUUUCAGAUAAGCUCUGGACAAAAUAGCAUGAAAAAAAAAACAAAGGGCAAUAACUCAAAAAUUAUAUAGGGAAGAGUUAUCAUUCUUGCGUAUAACAUUCCUCCUCAAUAAGAUCUAUCCACCUAUGACAUUUCAUGUUGAUAUCUCAAACACUUUUUGAGUUAUGCUCAACUCAGUUGAAAAAUUAGGUAUGAAAAAUAACAAAGGGCAAUAACUCAAAAAUUAUGAAAGGUAGAGUUAUCAUUCUUGUGCACUGCACACCUCCUGAGUGAGAUCUAUGCACCUAUGAAGUUUCAUGUUAAUAUCUCAUAGGCUUAUGGAGUUAUGCUCUGGACAAAAAUCAAUUUUGAAAAAUAACAAAGGGCAAUAACUCAAAUAUCAUGCAAGGUAGAGUUAUCAUUCUUGUGCACUGCACUCCUCCUCAAUGAGGUCUAUCCACCUAUGAAGUUUCAAGUUGAUAACUCAAAUACUUUUAGAGAUAUGCUCCGGACAAAAAUGUCGGACGGAAGGACGGACGGAAUGUCGGACGGACGGAGACUAUUUUUAUAUCCUCCGCCGAAAUUUUUCGGCGGGGGAUAA